UCUUAUGAUGACAAUGGAAAUGCCACUGCAGUACAUGAUUCAAGAGAAAAGAGAAAAGUGAAGAACAUGAUGAGUUGAUGGCAAAGGUCCAAAAGUAUGGGAAUGCGGACAAGAGCACAUCGGAAGUCAGCUACAUGAACUGCACGACAAAUGCUUGCUACACUCGCCUAGCCUGAUCAAGGAGUCCAGGUUGCCCUCAUACCUCGAGAAGAUAUUGUUGUGAACUGUAGUGCAGAUGCUUGCGAAAAAAGAUUAGAAACAAUGGAUAGUUAAGAGGGCUAAGUUGCUGAAAUAUUAACACCUGACUGGAAAAUGAAUGCAACCAACUUUAGCAUUCGUAGUAAGAUUCUUUUAUCAAUAACUUGUGCCAGUAAUUAUGUUAAAUGACCACAAAUAUGACGACGGGGAACCCACUGAUAACACGAGUUUUGUGAAAAAAAUUCAGUUAUCAUGUGCUCACUGGUCGCUACAACUCCUUAUGAGUUUUCCCUUUAUUUUUGCAUGUGAAGCAGAGGAAGGAGAAGCAAGCUUGGCUCAAGGAUUUUAACUAUGAUGUAUUUUGCCCUGGAAACAGGCAAUACGAGCAUUUCAAUAAGGUGCUUGAUUAAAUAUGAGAUGUUUCUAAGUUAACAAAGGUUGAAUGGUUUUACGGUAAAUGAUACUGAGCUUAUCUCCAUGCAAUAUUUAGGUUGCAGUGGUGGUGAAUGACCUACUACUGAAGCCGGUUAAGCAAUUCAUUUUAUAUUAUUUUCCAAGUAAUUUUGGAGAAAACAGAACAAGUGCAUUACUCCGUGUGGGAACAAUUUGUUGCAGCUGAAUGCAACUAUAUUUUCCUAUUAUAGCAGUUUCUAAAGCUGGACACUUCUUGCAACAUUAAAAGUUAGGUUUUGACGACUUUAAUUAAAAUAUAAUUUGUUUCUGUUACCUCGGAAAAACCAUCUUUGCAAUGGUAAGGAUAGCUGUAACUUUGGGUAGGGAUCGAUUAAUACAUCAAGUUCAUGUAGUGCUCAAGAUUUUAAUAUUUUUUUGAGAUUGCGGCUUUUUAAGCUUGGUAUGAACUGGAUGCCACACCGAGUCGACUAUGAGGAUGGAGGGAUACUAUUAUCUUGAAUUCUUGAUCUCAUCUUGAUCAAGUCUAGGGUGAGUGCGGCUUUUUAAGCUUGGUAUGUUGUGGUUGUGUGAGAGAUUGAGAGUGGAGAGACUUGAGCGUGGAGAGAUGUGAGUGAGUAUUGUUGUGAUGAUGUUGCUUUUCAUGAUCUUGCAAAAUUGUCGAACAGAGAUACACAGAUUGAAUAUUUUAUUGGAGGCGCUCCAAAUGAAGUUGGAGAGUGGCCAAGAGGAAGGAAUUGAUUGUAUGAUUUAUUUUCAUACAUACUUCCGUAUGUUAGUCCCCUUUCCACCUCUCUGUAUGAUUGCAAUCAGUAUUAUCAUGAUGUAGUAUAUUGCGAUAUCUCUGAUUUGUUUUGAAUUUUAUAGUGAGUUGCGAAUUA